GAAUCUCCUGAAGGAACGUUGAAGACGACGACGUUGAUAGGCCGGGUGUGUAAGCGCAGCGAUGCGUUGAGCUAACCGGUACUAAUGAACCGUGAGGCUUAACCUUACAACGCCGAAG
rnacentral:rRNA from 1 species